rnacentral:rRNA from 1 species
AUGGCAUUCACACCAUCAAGCACCCCGGCGGAGGUGCCGAAAAGCCAUCGCCGGCGCCGAGCGAAGCGCGCCCGCGUUGGCGAUGGCUCAUCCUCGGCGGCAGAGUCGACGGUGCCCGUCCCCGCCGAUCAAUCUAGCUGGCGGGACUGGGCGAGCCUGGGGUCCGGGCCGGCGUGGCUGAUCGCGGACCGCGUGCUCGCCCGCGACGUCGCCGACUACGUCCGCUUCCGCGCGUCGUGCCGCGCGUGGCGGCGGUGCACGGCGGACCCGCAGGCCGACGCCCUCGACCCACGGUUCCACCCGCGGUGCUGGACCAUGCUCCAGGACGUUGUGAGCCGCGGCCUUCGCUACCGGUACAGCCGCUUCAAGAACGACGCCACCGGCGAGCACAUCCGGAUGACGAUCCGGGGGCUGAACGGCCGCGACGGCCGCACGCACCUCGCGCGCACGUCCCAGGGGCUCCUCGUCUUGCUCAACAAGAAGACCGACGCCGUGUUCGUGGUGAACCCGGUCACCGGCGCCCGCGCCGACCUGCCGCCGGUGACCGCGCUGCUGUCCGGAUUCCGGCGGGCCGAUGUUUUCCCGAGAUGGCCCCACGAGGUCCACUUCGGCGUGGAGCUGACCUACGAUUCCGCGGUCGUGAUAAACUUGCACGGGCUGCUGGGCGUCGCGAGACCCGGCGACGAGCGCUGGGCAGAGGUGGAGUGGGAGGACCCGAUCCUCGGACCAGUCCUGUCGUUCGCAGGCCGCGUGUACUGCUUCGUGGAUGACGCUGUCAUGUUGCUGGAGACCUCGCCGGACCACCCGCCGAGGCUGGCCAAGGCUGAUCAUAAUCCCUUCGGUUCAAUGCCGUGA